CACUGUGAGUCUUAUAAAUUGCUUACAUACCUCACCGAUUUCUGCAUGUCUGGAAAACGCUCGGUUUAGUUCCUGUCUCCGCCUCCCAAAAUGUCUAGUGUAUUCGGAUUGGUCAGAUGACUACUCAACUGUUAUUGGUCAACUGGGUUCGGCGUGUGUUUGAAAGGUUACGCCCCUGACUACGCGUGGAUUUUCCGGUUCUGACUGAGAGUCACAGGCAACGUAAACAAGCGCUAUAUUUCUCUAUAAACGAUGGUGUCUGUACUGCCUUACCACUUCAAGCUCGAUCCAGAGAGUUCAGACGGCCGUUACGAUAUAAACGAUCUCCGUCAAUGAACGCGAUUGGAUUUAACUUUUUUAGGUGUCCUUAGCUCUGCCAGAAUGCUAAACGAAGACGAAAAUGUGUUGCAAAGACAUCCAAAAGGUUUUAAGGAGAAUGCAACAGGUUCCAGGGCCUCUUACCUGCGUGAUUCAUCAUCCAGGUUUUGCACAAAUUGUCUAAAUCCCUACACACAGAACAUUUAUUGUACCGACUAUAAGCCUUUGAGGUGCAGGACUAGAAUACGCUUGGAGCUUCCUGAUCAGAUCGGUCACAAUUUUGGCUUUCGACGACCCCUGCACUGAAGAUGGCAUGCAAUCACGUCCUCCUUUGAAGGUCUCUCAAACUGUGAUGCCAGG